UCUUUUUAAAAUAGGAUUUAGGCUAUUUUUGAAAUUAAUUAGUUUUAAUUGUAGAGCUUAAAAUUGGUCUUGUUUAUUUUUAUUUUUAUACUUUGAUAAAAUCUGAAAAAUAAUUAAAAAAGGGGAAAAAAGAAAGAAGUUUAAAAUUUUGUGGUCUUAAUUAAAGACCCAAAUUUGGGCCACCCUUUAAUCAAAUCACCAGCCCAAACCCUAAACCCGUGCAAAUACCUGUCCAAACCCAACAAUACUCGACCCAAGCUUCCCCAACCCAGUCCAUUACGCCCCAAUUGAAACGACGACGUAUGGCUUAGAUCAAUCAGAGCCGUUGAUAUUGUUUAAUCGAACGGAUGAGAACUAACGAGGUUUUGGCUAUAUAAGUGUCAGAUAAACGACACCCCUACCCCCAAACCAUCUGCCAAAACACCAUAACAUGCUGAUGUAACGCCACCAUCCCUCCGCCGUCCGCUGCCGGCCGCGAUGCUAUGAUCAACCCCAGAAUUAUACCAUCAAAACUUCUCCUCCUCUUCUUUCCAAUGCCCUAAAUCCCAGCCCUCAAAUACCAACCUUUCGUCUCGAAUCUUCAAUCAAAACGGCAGUUGUUCCACCGUCCACGGCGGCACCGGUCUCAAAAUUGUCUCAAAUUUACACCACAAUAUCCUCUCACCCUCCUCUCUCUAAAUCCCCAAGCCCCGUACCUCAAAUCUCAGUAGAAAGUCUCGAAUAUUGAUUUGAAAAUCCAGCCAAAACACCACCACUUCCAAACUUUGCCAAAUUAACACCACAUGAUCUCCUUACACCCAUCAUCCCAAGUCUACACCCUUAGCCUUCGAAUUAUCCCCGUUUGGUAAUCUCAGAUCAAAUUUUGGCCGAAAUCCCUAACUUCUGAAUGUUUGGAGACUAGUUGAUUUUGGGAUAUAAUAGCCUUUAAUCAUGUGUUUUAUGAUGAAAACACAUGAUUAAAGACGGUUUUAAUCCAAAUGAUGCCAAGAAAGCUGCCAUCAUUCAAGUUGGAGUUAGUGCACUUCGAGGUAUUUCAUGCUUACCUUCUCCUCUAUUUCAUCUGUGAUUUUUAUUUUUUUAUUUAUUUUAUUCUGUUUACUCAGAAUUUCUUUUAUUUUAGGUAUUGAAUCAGGAUUUUAGUUUAGGGUCUGAUUUCUUCUCAUAAUCAUAUAGUUUGAUUUUAUUUUGUUAAUAGUAAUUUGAUCGUUGAUUUGACUUCAACGAUAGGAUUUCAUGUUUAGCUAUUGCUUUGCAUUUUCUGAUUUUGUGAGUUUCAUCUUUGUUUGUUUGAAUUCAAUUAAUCUAUUUGUUGUUGUAUUAGUUUAAUGGUACAUUUAGUCUUAGAAUUUUCAUUAUUUACAGUUGAAUUUCUAUUUGAUUAGAUAGAUUAGUUAGUUUAGAUUUAAUCGUCGUUUGGUUAUAGCUGAUUAGUUUCGUCUUGUCGUAAAUCAACCAUGGUUAGUCUUGCCAGAGUAAAAGGGGGUUGGGGUUUGAUUUGGCUAUAGUAGUAAUUCAGAACCCAAUUUAAGGGUAGUUUAGGUGUUUUACCUAAAGAAUCUGUUAGUUAGAACACCCUAGACUCUUCUAGAAGAUGGUUGAAGUUAUAAUUCUAAAUCUAUAAUGCAGUAACUUGAGUAACAAGCAAGGAAUAAAAGAACUAGUUGAGUAAAACUUAAAAAAAAUAAGAGAGGGACUAAUAGGUAAAACAAAAUAGAAAGGGUUGCCCUAAGGUUUUGCCUAUAAAAAGGCAUACCAAUUCUUUCUUUCACCGUUUUUUUAAGGCUGAAAUUCCCAGAGGUUUUGAAUUCGGAAAAAUUCCCAAAUUUGGAACUUCGAAAAAUUCCCAGAAGUUUUGAAAAUCAUGAAAAUUCUCAAAAAUUUCCAGCUUCUAAAAAUUCCCACAAAGGUUUGAAGGCGGAAAAAUUCCCAAAGGUCUUUGGAUUCUGAAAAAUAUCUCUAAAAACAAAAUCUUCAGAAAAAUCACAAAAAAUAUUGUUUUAUUAGAGUUUUCUUCAAAUUAGUUCCAAUUCUCAGCCAUCCAUUUGAAUUUUUAGCAUAAAUAAGAUAAAAAUGACUUGAAAUAUAUGUGUUUGAGGUGUUGAAUCUUCAGAAGUUUGUUGGAUUCAAUUUUGAGUGUGUUUUGGAGUUCAGUUGAGGUUAUUUUUGGUCUGUUAUUAGUAUCACUGGUCUAAAAUCAUGUCAUGGGUUCCAAUGAUAUCGAUUUGGGUUUCUAAUUGAUCUGAUUAUUGUGUUAUUGUUAGAUCUCAAUUGUUGAUUCAUGUUGCUAUACUGCUGAGUCACUCCUGACCUCUUCCUUUAUUUCAUUGUAAUUCCAGGUACAUAUAUGAACUUGACUUGGUGUAGCUUUAAGUGAGAAUGAAAUGAAAAGUGUUCUUGCAUCUGCUCCUUGAACCAUCCCUGUGUGGACUACUAUGGUUUAUAGUCGAAUAGAUUUUAAGUAAUUUGUAAUGUUUAAUAUAGUUUAAUUUGAUUAAUACUUGUAUAAACUUGGGACUGUAUAAUUUGGACUAAACAGAAGUGUUUUUUUCGAGUUUAUGUAAAUAGUUGUUGAAUUGAUUGUUAGGAUCAUGACUGCUUCAUUUCCAAUUUUUCAUCAGUGGUAUUCCAAAUAUGAGCAUGUUUUAAGAGCUGUAGUUCAAACACUGAACUGACAGUUUGUUAUAGCUUAGUCGCGGAUUUUAACCUUACCAAUGGUUAUAAUCAGC
rnacentral:lncRNA from 1 species